UUGUGGUAGCCCGCAAAAUAUUGGGACAUAUAAAAAAAGACAACUCUGUUCCACAGAGUAGCUGUUGACAUUAUAGUUGCGCAGGCACUUUGUUGACUCUAGAGAACCUCGGGCCAAUCGCACAUCCCCGUGGCGGCGACUUUACAUGCAGACGUCAUCCAUAUCAACUUUCGAUGCCAGUUUCUGCGCCUGCCAUGGAGAGCACGGGUAACGGGGAAUCAGGGUUCCAUUUCGUACAGGGACCCUGAGAAAUGGCUACCACAUGCAAGGAAGGCAGCAGGCACGCAAAUGACCCACUCCUGACGCGGGAAGGUAGUGAUGA